rnacentral:rRNA from 1 species
AGCGAACGCUGGCGGCAGGCCUAACACAUGCAAGUCGAGCGGUAAGGCUCCUUCGGGAGUACACGAGCGGCGAACGGGUGAGUAACACGUGAGCAAUCUGCCCUUCUCAUCGGAAUAAGCGUGGGAAACCGCGUCUAAUGCCGAGUACGACCUCCUUUCGCAUGAUCGGAGGUGGAAAGCUCCGGCGGAGAAGGAUGAGCUCGCGGCCUAUCAGCUAGUUGGUGAGGUAACGGCCCACCAAGGCGACGACGGGUAGCCGGCCUGAGAGGGUGACCGGCCACACUGGGACUGAGACACGGCCCAGACUCCUACGGGAGGCAGCAGUGGGGAAUAUUGGACAAUGGGCGAAAGCCUGAUCCAGCAACGCCGCGUGAGGGAUGACGGCCUUCGGGUUGUAAACCUCUUUCAGCAGGGACGAAGCGAAAGUGACGGUACCUGCAGAAGAAGGACCGGCCAACUACGUGCCAGCCGCCGCAGUAACAC